rnacentral:rRNA from 1 species
GGCAGCAGUGAGGAAUAUUGGUCAAUGGGCGCAAGCCUGAACCAGCCAUGUCGCGUGCAGGAUGACGGCCCUAUGGGUUGUAAACUGCUUUUUUACAGGAAUAAUUGUCUCUACGUGUAGGGAUUUGAAGGUACUGUAUGAAUAAGGAUCGGCUAACUCCGUGCCAGCAGCCGCGGUAAUACGGAGGAUUCGAGCGUUAUCCGGAUUUAUUGGGUUUAAAGGGUCCGUAGGCGGGCUUUUAAGUCAGUGGUGAAAUCCCAGAGCUCAACUCUGGAACUGCCAUUGAUACUGGUUGUCUUGAAUUUAGUUGAGGUGGGCGGAAUACGUUAUGUAGCGGUGAAAUGCAUAGAUAUAACGUAGAACACCGAUUGCGAAGGCAGCUCACUAAACUAAUAUUGACGCUGAUGGACGAAAGCGUGGGGAGCGAACAGGAUUAGAUACCCCUGGUAGUCCACGCCGUAAAGGAGGCUCGUUGUGCACAAUACCGUGCGUGACUGACCGAA